UAUUGGUCAAUGGGCGGGAGCCUGAACCAGCCAAGCCGCGUGAGGGAAGAAGGUACAGCGUAUCGUAAACCUCUUUUGUCAGGGAACAAAGGCGGGGACUAGUCCCCGGAUGAGGGUACCUGAAGAAAAAGCAUCGGCUAACUCCGUGCCAGCAGCCGCGGUAAUACGGAGGAUGCGAGCGUUAUCCGGAUUUAUUGGGUUUAAAGGGUGCGCAGGCGGCCUGUUAAGUCAGCGGUAAAAGUCCGGGGCUCAACCCCGGCGAGCCGUUGAAACUGGCGGGCUGGAGUUGGAGAGAAGUACGCGGAAUGCGCGGUGUAGCGGUGAAAUGCAUAGAUAUCACGCAGAACUCCGAUUGCGAAGGCAGCAUACCGGCGCCCUACUGACGCCGAGGCACGAAAGCGUGGGUAUCGAACAGG
rnacentral:rRNA from 1 species